rnacentral:tRNA from 1 species
GGCUUUGUAUGUUGUGGUUAGAACGCUGGCCUUGUAAUCCUGGGGUCUCGGGUUCGAUUCCCGGCGGUGCCC